CUCGGAUGAAUAACUAAUUGAUGACAAUACAUGAAGCCGAUAUUUGCUAAACCAGUUUAAUAACGCUUGUGAGCCGUCAAGGAAAACACGCAACCAAUAAUAACAAUGCGCUGGCUGUUCGUACUGGUAGUGGCGAUGACGCUAGCCACCGCUCUUACGCAUCCCGCCCCCGGAGCCUACGCAAUAAAUACCCAAGGAAGACUAACUCAAGAAA